rnacentral:rRNA from 1 species
GGCGUAAGAGCUCUAGGCGGCUUGUCACGUCGGUUGUGAAGCCUGGGGCUUAACCCCGGGUCUGCAGUCGAUACGGGCAGGCUAGAGUUCGGUAGGGGAGAUCGGAAUUCCUGGUGUAGCGGUGAAAUGCGCAGAUAUCAGGAGGAACACCGGUGGCGAAGGCGGAUCUCUGGGCCGAUACUGACGCUGAGGAGCGAAAGCGUGGGGAGCGAACAGGAUUAGAUACCCUGGUAGUCCACGCCGUAAACGGUGGGCACUAGGUGUGGGCAACAUUCCACGUUGUCCGUGCCGCAGCUAACGCAUUAAGUGCCCCGCCUGGGGAGUACGGCCGCAAGGCUAAAACUCAAAGGAAUUGACGGGGGCCCGCACAAGCGGCGGAGCAUGUGGCUUAAUUCGACGCAACGCGAAGAACCUUACCAAGGCUUGACAUACACC